rnacentral:rRNA from 1 species
GAUGAACGCUGGCGGCGUGCCUAAUACAUGCAAGUCGAGCGAACAGACGAGGAGCUUGCUCCUCUGACGUUAGCGGCGGACGGGUGAGUAACACGUGGAUAACCUACCUAUAAGACUGGGAUAACUUCGGGAAACCGGAGCUAAUACCGGAUAAUAUAUUGAACCGCAUGGUUCAAUAGUGAAAGACGGUUUUGCUGUCACUUAUAGAUGGAUCCGCGCCGCAUUAGCUAGUUGGUAAGGUAACGGCUUACCAAGGCAACGAGGAGUAGCCGACCUGAGAGGGGGAUAGGAAACACAGGAAGGGAGACAAGGUAGAGAUGAAGAAGGGGGGAAGAAGUAGGGAAUGUUGUGAAAUGGGCGAAAGACUGAAGGAGAAAAGAAGGGUGAGGGAGGAAGGUAUACUGAUAGUAAAAAUAUGUGAUUAGGGAAGAACAAAUGUGUAAGUAAGUAGGCACGUAUGGAGGGUAAGUAAUCAGAAAGGCACGGCUAACUAGGGG